rnacentral:rRNA from 1 species
UUCGCCCUUUAACGCGUUAGCUCCGAAAGCCACGGCUCAAGGCCACAACCUCCAAGUAGACAUCGUUUACGGCGUGGACUACCAGGGUAUCUAAUCCUGUUUGCUCCCCACGCUUUCGCAUCUGAGUGUCAGUAUCUGUCCAGGGGGCCGCCUUCGCCACCGGUAUUCCUUCAGAUCUCUACGCAUUUCACCGCUACACCUGAAAUUCUACCCCCCUCUACAGUACUCUAGUCUGCCAGUUUCAAAUGCUAUUCCGAGGUUGAGCCCCGGGCUUUCACAUCUGACUUAACAAACCACCUGCAUGCGCUUUACGCCCAGUAAUUCCGAUUAACGCUCGCACCCUCCGUAUUACCGCGGCUGCUGGCACGGAGUUAGCCGGUGCUUCUUCUGUCGCUAACGUCAAAUCUAUACGCUAUUAACGCAUAAACCUUCCUCACGACUGAAAGUGCUUUACAACCCGAAGGCCUUCUUCACACACGC